UACGGAGGGUGCGAGCGUUAAUCGGAAUUACUGGGCGUAAAGCGUGCGCAGGCGGUGCGCCAAGCUCGAUGUGAAAGCCCCGGGCUUAACCUGGGAAUUGCAUUGAGGACUGGCGUGCUCGAGUGCGGCAGAGGGGGGUGGAAUUCCACGUGUAGCAGUGAAAUGCGUAGAGAUGUGGAGGAACACCGAUGGCGAAGGCAGCCCCCUGGGCCGACACUGACGCUCAUGCACGAAAGCGUGGGGAGCAAACAGG
rnacentral:rRNA from 1 species